rnacentral:tRNA from 1 species
GCCUUUAUGGUUUAAUUGGAAAGCACAUCUGGUAGCAGUCAGAAGGUUUGGGGUUCAAAUCCCAGUGAAAGCA